rnacentral:lncRNA from 10 species
UGGGGCGGCGGCAGGGGCCUUGGGGCGGUCUGAGGGUGCCGUGAAGAGGUGAGGGAGGGCUGGCUAUGGGCGGCCGGCUGGGGUGGGGGACGAGCACCGGGUUCCGUCCAAGCACUGUUGAAGCAGGAAACCCCGACGACUCUCGGCAAAGAACGUCUCUAUAUUUAUAUUAUUAAUUUUGCAACUUGCAGAAAUGGAAGUUGCUACGUAACAGUACAAGUUUUAAGACUGUGGUGAUGUCAUGGUAUGAAAUUUUCAGUAGAUCAACUAUGUAAAAUUAUCCCUUUUUGGUGGAUUCUCAUUUUUUAAAAAUUCCAUUUGAUGUUUAAUUUGCAAAGUUCAGUUAUAUUUCUAAAUUUAUCAAUCAUUAAGAAGGCUGACUUAUUAGCUUUAGAAAACGGAACCCUAAAGACUAGAUAACUUUUGUUAUAUAAUCCUCUUUUAAGAAUUAGGUAGAAACACGUUUCCAACACCAGCCGAUCACCAAGAAAAUAAUACUGUUACUUUAAAGAAAUUGUUUUAAGAAAAAACAAGAAGCUUUUAAUUUACUAGUAAAAAAUAAUACUUACUAGCUAAGAAAAGCACCUAAAUGCAACCUAUUAAAUGAAAAAGUCAAAGUCAAAAUCUCAUUUGCUUUACUUGUUCUUCCCUUAUCACUUAAUUUUCUUUUUUCUUCUUUUUUGAGAUGGAGGCCGCUCUGUUGUCGCCAGGCUGGAGUGCAGUG